UGCGCUUGCAGAUCCCAUUCAUUAUUUAUGUAGAAGAGCAAUUGCAUAUUUCAAUACCGCGUCUCUUAUAUCAUGCUGGGGAUGACAACUUGGCUUAAGUGGUGUGAGGGAUAGGUUUGGCAUUUUUUGGCACCGAUACUAGAUUUAGAGAACUUAGUCUACUUUUGGUAAUGAUGUUAAGAAUACCCAACAACUAGCAAAAGAGUAAGUGGUCUAGCAAUAAAUGAAAAAUCUUUUAUGAAUCUACGAUAAAAACC
rnacentral:lncRNA from 1 species